UGUCUCACAACUCACAUCUCACCAGAUCUCAUCCGCCCCCAACUCCAUGCUUUCUCUCUCCCAGGCGAUUUCCAGAUCUAGGGUUUCAAUAACCCUGAAUCGUUCAUUUUCUCUCAAUCCGACAGAAGAUCCAGUGGGGUUGACCUCAGCUAAAUGAAGUAUAUGACUGUAGCAAGCCCCAUUUAAACUUUUGCUUCAGAUUGUGACUUUGGGUUCAAAGUUGAUUUUGUUGGUUGCCCCUUUUCUUUAUGCUUAGGAAUCUUGAACCCUAACAACGAGUAUGCAUCCCUGAAUCCCAAAGAAGGUAGCUUUCACGGAUGGAAAUUGUAUGGUUUUGUGAAGCUCAGAUUUUUGCAGAUUCAACAGUUAAGUCACAGAUACGGACGUGAGUUGUGAGGGGACGGGAGUUGUGAGAGGACGGGAUGACGGUAGUAGGCAUCACUCAGGAGCACAAUUCUGAAAGCAGAUGUCUAUUGUUAUGUUAAAGAGGCCAAGCAAAAUCUAUCAAGUUACUUCUGCACAUAAAGCGCAAUGAGGGAGGUAACACUUAUCUUUUGAUAUCCGAAAACUUAUCUUUUAUUAUUUAAGAAAGACAAAGUCAUAAAACUAGAUCGUUUAAUGUGGUUAACUAUAUAGUAGUCAAAAGCGCGCUAGAGUCUAGGUGCAAGCCUAGGCUCUCGGGACGAGGCGAGGCACAACUAAAACGCCUCAAACACACUCAAGUGCUAAAAACGCUUUGCACCAGCCUGAGUGGGUCUGAACCAGCCUUGUGGUUUCUUUAUUUGAGUUGAAUCCACUCUAUAGUCAAUCUCCCUUGCCAUAUUUCAUUAAAACCACAAGACAGUUUAAAAAAAUAUAUUAGAUCUUCUAAUAUAUUUGUAAUGAUCAGUAUUUUACCCAUAGUAAAAGAUGGUUCCAGUCAUUGUCAUUGUGCUGACUAUCACAUUGGUAACUGAACCAUUUAUGAUAAGUAGUAUCCGGAAGUAAGAAGAAUUAACUUCAAUAAGUUAUUGAAACCUUUAACAGGCUUUGGGUGUGGGGUUGUUUAUGUAGGUAAGUUGUGUGCUUGGUUUUAAAAAGCGCGCCUCAUGCGCGCUUAAGCGCGAGUCACAACAAGGCUCACACCUUGGGGCUUUUUCGCUCAGCGCCUAGAGUAAUUACAAGAAGCCCAAAAAAGACGCGCUUUUUUGGGAUUUUUCUGGGCUUUUUUGGCCUGGGUCACGCGCCUCUUGUACUCGAGGCGUUUUAUGCAUCUGAAUGUUGUACCUUGGGUUUUUUGGUUUGUACAUGUAGCUAAAAUCAUACAAAAACCUUACUUAUGGCUAUAUUUUGGGUAGGGAAAGCUAAUGACCUAUGGGAUAUAUAAAAAUGUAUAUAAUUAGCUUGCGGCUUGAGUAUGAAAACCCCGCCACUUUUGCGCUUUGCGCUUCGUGUCUCGGUUUUAGACAUUGUCGCUUUUGGGCGCCUCUCGCCUUAUAAAACCAAGGUUGUGUGGUGUUUCAUUGGUAGGUAAAAUGAAUGUAUGAUGCUAUUUUUCUAAAAAAACAGAGUAUGCAUUCCUUUUUUGGUAGUUUUUAAAGUAAAUUUUGAUUUUAUGUAUAUUUUUUCUCAACGUAUGUUGCUAUUAUUGGUAUUUACUUUCAUUGUGUAAAAAUAUGUUGCUAUUUAAAUUUAAAUUGAUCAUUCUUUUCUUGGAAAUUUGUUUUUAAAAAAUUGUCUGUUAGGUGCCCCUCAUGUUCAACACACAUUAACUGUAAUUUGUAGUUCAGUCAUCUUACCUAAAAAGGUAAAAAAAAUAGAAGUCAAAAGCCCUUCCAACUCAUGAGAUCGGGAGGCAACUGACAGAUUUCUGGAUUCGGGCAUAAACACAUGUUUAGAUGUUGCAGGUAAGGUUUAACACAAAUCAUUUUAAACUGCAGACGCCAAGGUACAGUCAUUGGUUUUAAGUGAACAUGGCCUUUUGUUUCCAAGUUGAUAGGCAAAUCAUUAGAACCAGCAGCCGUGAGCAAUAGCGCCACCACCUUCAAUAAACGAUAUUCGUUUGGAAUAACGGUUGUGAUUCCAUCAUAGCAACCCAGCACCCGAUAAAUGAUAUCAGUUUGUGUUGCUGAUGGAACCUUUGUCCUCUCUCCUGCUGAACCCAGAGAUUAUCACAAACCUAGGCAGCUCAAAACUUGGAAAUGGUGAUCAACCGGUGUUAAUUGAUUAUGAACGUCUCAAAGUAUAGAUACGAUGUUGUGGUUAUGUUUUAUGUUUCUGAAAUGGAGGGUGAAAGAUUAGGUUUAAAAAACUUAUCGAGUUUCCAUUGGCAAUCUCAUGUACUUAAUUUUCCUAUUAAUGAAAUUUGGUUUUUGCUGGUAAAAAAAAAAGCUAAUUUAGAUAAGUUAGCCAA
rnacentral:lncRNA from 1 species